CAGCCGCCGCGGUAAUACGAAGGGGGCUAGCGUUGUUCGGAUUUACUGGGCGUAAAGCGCACGUAGGCGGACUUUUAAGUCAGGGGUGAAAUCCCGGGGCUCAACCCCGGAACUGCCUUUGAUACUGGGAGUCUUGAGUUCGAGAGAGGUGAGUGGAAUUGCGAGUGUAGAGGUGAAAUUCGUAGAUAUUCGCAGGAACACCAGUGGCGAAGGCGGCUCACUGGCUCGAUACUGACGCUGAGGUGCGAAAGCGUGGGGAGCAAACAGGAUUAGAUACCCCCGUAGUCCCUGUCUCUUAUAC
rnacentral:rRNA from 1 species